CGGCAUGCCUAAGACAUGCAAGUCGAACGAGAAGGCCCAUUGAAAUUAUUGAGAUUCAGAGUGCUUGCACAAAGAAAGGAUAUAAAUAGAUUUGGAUUUCCUUCUAGUGGCAAACGGGUGAGUAACACGUGGGUUACCUGCCUCCGAGACGGGGAUAACAAUUGGAAACGAUUGAUAAUACCGGAUACGGUCUACGGACUAAAGGGUGCAAUAAAGCAUCGCUUGGAGAUGGGCCUGCGGCGUAUUAGCUAGUUGGUGAGGUAACGGCUCACCAAGGCAACGAUGCGUAGCCGAACUGAGAGGUUGAUCGGCCACACUGGGACUGAGACACGGCCCAGACUCCUACGGGAGACAGCAGUUAGGAAUAUUCGUCAAUGGGGGAAACCCUGAACGAGCAAUGCCGCGUGAAUGAAGAAGGCCCUAUGGGUUGUAAAAUUCUGUUGUUUGGAAAAAAGGAUAUUUAGAGGAAAUGCUAAGUAUUUGAUGGUACCAUUCAAGAAAGCCACGGCUAACUACGUGCCAGCCGCUGC
rnacentral:rRNA from 1 species